UGCAAAGGUUAUUAAGGAUCUGAUGGAUC
rnacentral:sRNA from 1 species